AUCGGGCUUUUAAUGGAUGCCUCUCCCAUGGCGAACGAUGGCUGCUCAAAGUGUCGUUGUUGAAGUUGUUGUUUGGUUGGCGUUGAGAGAGAUUUGCACGUAGCAGCGCUGAAUUGGAGCGGGACCAGAUUAAUGUUUGCCAAGAUCGACCACGACUGUAACAGCUCGGAUGAGGAUGGUUGGAGGAGAGAGAAGAUAUCGAAUUGGAUCUGUGUAUUGAUUACAAGGGGCUGGAAAUCUCCUACACAGGAAACUGAAACGAAUGCAGGUUUAAGAGUCUAUGAUGGAAUGACUCUGGUCAAAGAAUUUGCCUUCCUUCCAUAGUUCCAUUGCUUCUGCUGAUCAAGAAUCAAUAAAUCAAUCUCCUAUGACGAUCUGAAAAGAUGAUUGGGAUUACCAGGAGAGCAUGUUACUCCGCUUGUGCUUCUGUCUCGGAUUAAGAGUCUCAUGGAGCUUAGAGCCCCAGACCUAGCGCACAUGACGCCUGUGUUUGAGGCGAUACGGGCAUUGAAAGCCGCAUUAAUUGCACGUGCGCAUGUGCGCAGGUGAGAGUACGUGUCUGUGUGACUGUCCACGCGCUCACAUGAAGAGGAGUGUGAUGGCUGGGCACACAUGCAAGUCAAGUCCUAUUCAUACACCCUGGCCAUUCCCACUCCCCUUGCCAUGCCAUGAGCUUCAAGGUAUGGUAUGGAGUAAUAUGUUAUAUGCUCCCGUCUGGUGGGGACUUAAUAACCCAACCAGAUCAAUCGAGAUAAAGUUUAAGAAAAGGUUAGGUUUCUAAGAAUGCUGGUUUUCAUGAGCACUUUUUAGUUUAAUAGUCAAUUUGAAGGGUUGAAUAUUUGAUGUCAACUAAAAAAAAGGUUAGAUUUGAAUGAUAAAUUUAAAAAUGUUGACUGCUUAAAUGAGUCUCUACAAGUGUUUUUUGAAUUAUGUUGAUGGCUGAUAAAAAACUUCACAGAAUUGGAUACAUGAAUUAUUAGGUUGGCUGGAAAUGAGAUGUCUAUCUUUACCUCUGUCUCUGGUUCCUCAUCCAACAUAGGUAGGUGACUGCAGCCACGCACAUCUUCUCAUAUCUCUCUCUGUUGUCAGAGUUUGCUGGGAGAACAACAGGACACGUGGCCAGAGGACCGUUCCAAAGGGGAUCUUAGUGUUGAAAGCAUUAGGUACAGACACGAAGAUAUUGGGAUUCAAGAGUUGAGGAUCACAGUAUUAUAUUGGCCGCAUGAUCCGGGCAUGGAAGAUCUAACUAUAAGGAUCUCAGGUUUAAAAGUUCGCACAAGCAUCCCACAUGGGGGGUCUGGCACUUGCUCUACGGCAUCUUGUUGGAAUUUUCCUUCAAUUAACCAUGUAAACUUAGGUUGUGAAUAGAGUAAUAAAGGGUGCAGCACCUAUGAACUUUGUCCUCGAAAACAUAGACACUGCUUUAUCCUUGUACUGUCUAAUGGGACGACAAGACCACUGUCCUCGCUAUCUCUGAGAAAAGAUCAUUCAAAUGAGAAGUAAAUUCAGGCUUUGCUUAAUACCGCUUUGGAUUGGAUACCGAUUCAGAGAAAUUUUCAAAAGAAAAAUUCAAAGAAUUUGGGCUCUUCUGGAAACGAUGAAAGAAUCUCGCAAGGAUUGUACUGCAGCCAAAACAAGGCUGGAAGGUAGUGGAUCCACCAUCAUGAUGCCAUUGUAUGUUCUAUUUGGAGUGCUCGUGGGGGUUGGAGAUCAGGUUGAAAGAUCAUUGUGUGGUACCUUCGAGACCAUGGUCUUGGCUUGCCGAGAGAAGUGGAUUGAAGGAAGCCCAUUUGCUUUUUCUGGCGUAUAGUUUCUCUGCUCAAUAUUGGACUACCAAUUGAAACACAGAGCAACAAUGGAAGAUGUGCUUAUGGAAGUAAGAAAAAUUCACCUCGAAAUGGGUAGCUGAGUAGCCACAAGAGAAUUCCAAAUCACCUUCCAUGGGGGUCUUCAUGUAGCUGCUGAUGUCCUCACUAAUGAAGCUGGCCUGCAAUACCAGCGAACCUCAAGAGGUUAAUAACCAACGAGAGCAGGCGAAGUGGAACUUCAACCAAAAUCUGCAUUCAUACUUUGGGUUGGCUGACGAGAGGUGAACUGGCAGUGUCAUCCAACAGAGAAGAGCAAUGCUCCUGGUAUUGUUGCUCCGGUUCAACUUUCCUCUUCUUGCCAUUACCACACUUGACUAAGUCAUUGCCUUCAAAGCAAGUCCUGGAGUUGAUACAGUGGAGGGAGAGCUUAUCCUGUUCAGGGAAGUGAGGCGGCCCAGAGGAUGCAUCAGAGACCAUCGACGAGUCUUCUUCUUCCUCCUCCUCCUCCUCCUCCAACAAGGAAUCGCCUUUCUUAUGCUCAAGAGGCAGAGAGAAGGCACAGGAGGAGUUGUCUAAGUAAGCCGUCCAACCAGAUUGGCAUCCACUGCUGCACUCUGAGCUGAUGACAUCUCGCUCCUCCUCCCCCAGCAUGAUCAGGGGAGAUAUAUUUCUUCCACAAACCAUGAUUCGCACCUGCAGCAAAAGCAAUCAGUAAUCUAAAUGGUCAAUUAUAUUCUGACCAUCAAAAUGCCGUCGAAUGGUUUUGAUGAGUGUUGCAUGACUCGCUUAGCGAAGACUGAAGACUUUGUUCUUUGUCUAGGUAAUUUAUUCCCUCCGUGAAACAGGGAAAGUCUAAACAUGCAUGAACAUGGACGGCCAGGCACGGCGUGCGUGCUCUUCUCUUUGCCCUCGCACUUAACGGAGUCUGGGACCAUGGUUCUUUACCCCGCACCUCUCACCGCUUUCCACUUCCAUCUCCUGCAUGUGCUAAUGGCCUCUUCACAUGCCCGCCAUGUAGAUGGUACGUAAUUAGCCUGUAUGUUACGUUGGAUUCUUAACUUGAAGCCUAGCUAGCUAGUUUGGAUCAUGAAAUUGAAUGCCCCCACCUAUUUGGAGGCCGAUGUAGCUAAGAGACACUAACUAGAAUUCAAUAUCCAUCUAUGCUUAUGAUACAUACAUUGAUUUGAUCUGCCA